rnacentral:rRNA from 1 species
GACGAACGCUGGCGGCGUGCUUAACACAUGCAAGUCGAACGGAAAGGCCCUGCUUUUGUGGGGUGCUCGAGUGGCGAACGGGUGAGUAACACGUGAGUAACCUGCCCUUGACUUUGGGAUAACUUCAGGAAACUGGGGCUAAUACCGGAUAGGAGCUCCUGCUGCAUGGUGGGGGUUGGAAAGUUUCGGCGGUUGGGGAUGGACUCGCGGCUUAUCAGCUUGUUGGUGGGGUAGUGGCUUACCAAGGCUUGGACGGGUAGCCGGCCUGGGAGGGUGCCCGGCCCAAUGGGGACGUGGGAGCGCCCCGGGCCCCAACGGGGGGCAGGGGUGGAAAAUUUUUCCAAAUGGGGGGAGGCCUGGAGCAACAACCCCGCGUGGGGAAUGACGGCCUUCGGGGUGUAACCCGUUUUCGCCUAUAACGAAGCGUAGGGAACGGAAAUGGGUAAAAAGCCCCCGGUAACCUCGGG